ensembl:snoRNA U8 U8 small nucleolar RNA
UUAUCAGGUUGCAUAAUCCUUACCUGUUUCUCCUUUGCAAGGGCAGAAUAGAACAUGAUAAUUGGAGUUUGUGUGGUAUGUGAUCAAUGUGUUUGCAUGCUCAGGACUUGCAACACCCUGAUUACUCCUAUCUGAU